GUUGCGGUUAAAAAGCUCGUAGUUGGAUUUCUGUUGAGAAUGUCCAGUCCGCACAUUGUGCGAGUAUUUGGUACAGUCUUGGCAUCCUCCUGGGGAGCGUUGAUGUACUUGAUUGUAAGUUGCGUGAUUCAGGACUUUUACUUUGAGGAAAUUAGAGUGUUCACGGCAGGCGUUUGCCUUGAAUAUGUUAGCAUGGAAUAAUAAUAUAAGACCUCGGUUUUAUUUUGUUGGUUUCUAGAAGCGAGGUAAUGAUUAAUAGGGACAAUUGGGGGUAUUCGAAUUAACGCGUCAGAGGUGGAAUUCUUGGAUUGCGUUACGACGAACUACUGCGAAAGUAUUUACCAAGGAUGUUUUCAUUGAUCAAGAACGAAAGUCAGGGGAUCGAAGACGAUUAGAUACCGUCGUAGUCUUGACCAUAAACUAUGCCGACUAGAGAUUGGAGGUUCGCUCUUUUUACGGCUCCUUCAGCAUCUUAUGAGAAAUCAAAGUUUUUGGGUUCCGGGGGGAGUAUGGUCGCAAGGCUGAAACUUAAAGGAAUUGACGGAAGGGCACCACCAAGA
rnacentral:rRNA from 1 species